rnacentral:rRNA from 1 species
UACGAAGGGGGCUAGCGUUGCUCGGAAUCACUGGGCGUAAAGGGUGCGUAGGCGGGUCUUUAAGUCAGGGGGGAAAUCCUGGAGCUCAACUCCAGAACUGCCUUUGAUACUGGGAGUCUCGAGUUCGGAAGAGGUUGGUGGAACUGCGAGUGUAGAGGUGAAAUUCGUAGAUAUUCGCAAGAACACCAGUGGCGAAGGCGGCCAACUGGUCCGAUACUGACGCUGAGGUGCGAAAGCGUGGGGAGCAAACAGG